UAUCCUUCCAGACCUCUGCUGAACUACAAACUACAAAGCAGCAAGGCUAUGAAUACCGUUUCACUGUUCCUGAGUCAGAUCCUUACUUUCAACUCUUACUUCAUGUUUUGCCAGUAAUAUGUUGUUCUACAGGUCUACUUUUUGCUUAUAAUGAUACCAAAUGGAAUUCCAAUGGUGAUCCAUAAAAAUAACAAGUCUAGCAGCUCAAUUCACAAUAGAUAAAAUAUGGAAGGGUACCUAGGUACCCUUCAACAGAUGAAUGGAUAAAGAAAAUGUGGUACACAUACACAAUGGAUACUCAUCCUUUAAGAAGAAUGAAAUUAUGACAUUUGCAGGUAAAUGGAUAGAGCUGGAGAAUAUUAUGCCAAACAAAAUAAGCCAGUCCCAAAAAAACCAAAGGCUGAAUUUUUUUAUAUAUGCAGAUGCUAAUUCAGGGCAGGCAGGUCCUAGGGAAGAACAGAGGUACUUUGGAUUAGGCAGAGGGGCAUAAAUGGAGGGGAGAGAGUAUGGGGAUAGGAAGGACAGUAGAAUGAAUUAGAAACAUUGUUAACCUAUGUGCAUACAUGACUACAUGACUGGUGUGAUUCUACAUCAUGUACAACCAGAAGAAUGAGUACUCUAUACAUCAUGUACAACCAGAAGAAUGAGAAGUUAUACUUUAUGUAUGAUGUGUCAAAGUGCAUUCUGUAAUGUAUAACUAAUUAAAACAAAUAAAAAAU
rnacentral:lncRNA from 1 species